GGCAGCGUCGGCGCUGACCCCUUCCCCGCCGGACGGCGAGAGAGGAAAAGGAGUGGGGGUGGGUUUCCCCCUUUUUUCCCCCUCCCUCCCCCCAGGAGCAGAUUUUUCUGGCCAUGUGGGUUUGAGAGGUCUGGUUUGGGGGCGUGCAGAGCAUCCGCUGAAAAUUCACGGGAGCUGAGGAGGGCGCGGAUUUGUUUGCAGCUCUGAAGGACAGAAGCUGGAUGCUUUGGCAGCGUUCCCUUUGAAUGUGGAAGAAGUCAGUGAUCCAAACAAAAUCCUCAAGAAAAAUAGAAAGAAGGAUACAAACAGAGAAAUGUGUGGUAACCUGUGGUUAACUCACUUCCUCAGAGUGUGGGAACACUGAGCUUUGAUCUGUGCUUUAUCUGACACUGAGUAGAACUUGAGUCUGCCUCUGCUUUCCAGGCACCAUCUUCAUCCUCCAGAAGUAAGCUAACAGUUCACUGAGGUAUUACAAGCCAACUCAGUUGGACUGCUGGACAGCAUGUGUGGUACUCUUGCCCAGUCUUGCACUGGCACUUCUCCUUCACUGCUCCCACUUCCGCCACAGCAGCUCCCAUGCRGCCCCACUGCCUCCAUGUGCUGCUCGCCAUGGGUGCUGGUCUCUGCCAGCACUGUGAGGGGCCCCGAAUUACCUGCUCUGCACCUGGGGCCAUCACUGAGGGGACAGGCGAUUGGACGCGGUACAGUCCUGCUUGAGCUAGCGCCUGAACAGUGGGGACUGAUAGCUACAACGCAGCAGGCACUGCUCCACCUCGGACUCCUCCUGAGGCCAUCCCCACAGCUAGUGCUGCCCAGGCCGGGCACAGCAGACUCCGAAGCAUGGGCCGAGGCAGUGCCUGGCACCAGCCACCUCUGGCCACUCACAGAUACUGCUGAGGGUCCCAAAUAG
rnacentral:lncRNA from 1 species